UCCCUGGUAGUCCAGUAACUAGGACUCUGAACUUCGACUGCAGGGGACAUAGGUUCAAUCCCUGGUCAGGAAA
rnacentral:tRNA from 1 species